rnacentral:rRNA from 1 species
CCUACGGGAGGCAGCAGUGAGGAAUAUUGGUCAAUGGUCGGGAGACUGAACCAGCCAAGCCGCGUGAGGGAGGAAGGCUCUGAGUAUCGUAAACUUCUUUUGUAUGGGAGUAAAGUCUUCCACGUGUUGACGUUUGUGUGUACCAUAAGAAUAAGCAUCGGCUAACUCCGUGCCAGCAGCCGCGGUAAUACUGAGGAUCCGAGCGUUAUCCGGAUUUCUUGGGUUUAAAGGGAGCGCAGGUGGGUGGGUAAGUCAGGUGUGAAAGGCGGGGGAUCAACCCGAAGAUGGCAGUUGAAACUGGCAGGCUGGAGUACAGGAGAGGUGUGCGGAAUGCGUGGUGUAGCGGUGAAAUGCGUAGAUAUCACGAAGAACUCCGAUGGCGAAGGCAGCUUACUGGACUGUAACUGACGCUGAGGCUCGAAAGCGUGGGUAUCAAACAGGAUUAGAUACCCUAGUAGUC